ensembl:ncRNA lncRNA:CR45878 long non-coding RNA:CR45878
GUCUUUCCAUUCGAUUUUCCCAUUCGGGGUAUUCCCUUUUCCCAAUCCCAUCCAAUUCCCUGCUGCCAUGGAUUCGUCCUGGGACGCUCUGGGGAUUUUAACGAAUGUGAUUUGAAAAUCAAGUUUUUGCGCAAAUUGUGAAAACGAAUAAAAGGCAUCAAUCAUUCAGUCGAGCGUCGGGUGAGCUGGAGUGUAUAGUAAAUGUCAUUGCCAUGGACUCGCCGUGACCGUCCGGCUGAAUAAUGCGGCAGGUUGUUCGACGAGAGGAUGGCGAUCCUGGACAGGAGCCGCUGGACUUCCGCUUGCCGGGGCAUUUCCGCCAGCCACUAAGCGCCCUGCUCAAUAUGCCAGUAGCUAGGACCUUCGUCUAUGAGUGAGUCCUUGUCCGGGAGUCCAGAGGUCCGAAUAGAGUCCUGAAGUUCAUGACUGUGUGCAUUUAUGGGCUCAUCCCCCUUGCGAAUUCCCUUUCACCGAGUCCAUGCUGGCACAUUAACAAAGUUAAGCCAGCACAUCGGGUGCUAACGUAUAUUUACUCGGUUUCUAAUGAGAUUUCCAGGUACUAAUAGGAACGAAGAUGCGCAGAGGAAAAGGAUCAGGAGAAGUCCUUUAAGAUCUGUUUGAAAAAU